AUUGAACUCUGGCGGCAGGCUUAACACAUGCAAGUCGAGCGAGCGGCGGACGGGUGAGUAAUGGCUGGGAAACUGACUGAUGGAGGGGGAUAACUACUGGAAACGGUAGCUAAUACCGCAUACCAUCAGAUGGGCCCAAAUGGGAUUAGAAAGUAGGUGGGGUAAUGGCUCACCUAGGCGACGAUCCCUAGCUGGUCUGAAAGGAGGACCAGCCACACUGGAACUGAGACACGGUCCAGACUCCUACGGGAGGCAGCAGUUGGGAAGAUUGCACAAUGGGCGCAAGCCUGAUGCAGCCAUGCCGCGUGUGUGAAGAAGGCCUUCGGGUUGUAAAGCACUUUCAGCGAGGAGGCGUUACUCGCAGAAGAAGCACCGGCUAACUCCGUGCCAGCAGCCGCGGUAAUUC
rnacentral:rRNA from 1 species